CUUUCUCGAGAGAAAAUUAUAAGAAGUGGAUGUUCAGUUACAUUUGCUUUCUUUACUUACUCUGUUACUCUAUCUUCUCCUGCCUUCGUUAUUUUAUUGCUACAAUAAAUUAAUUAUUUAAUCAAACUCCUGUACCCAGAAGGAGUCCCGUUCUCGUAUGCACGAGAAAGGGCACUCCUUGCUGCUAUUACCUAACCUCAUUCAAGCCUCCGGACUGAGGAAUUCUCAUGCUGAUCUAUUUUUGAUCACAUGGAGCUGACUAUUUGACUUAUGUUUUAUUCAUCCACUUUGAAUCCUUCAGGUAUUGCAGUAGUAUGAGCCUUGAAAGACAUUCAGUGCUUCCGGACACUACGUUCAACUCCUCAACUCAUUCUGGAGGGUGCAAUUGCCCUAGAAAGAUAUUCAGUGCUUCCAGACAUUACGUUGCACCUCCUUCAGGAGCGUCCGCAAUAGCCCUUGAAAGGCAUUCAGUGCUUCCGGACAUUACGUUCAACUUUCCAACUCCUUCAAAAGGGUAAAAUUGCCCUUGAAAGAUAUUCAGUGCUUCCAGACAUUACGUUACACCUCCUUCAGGAGGGUCUAAUAGCCCUUGGAAGACAUUCAGUGCUUCCGGACACUACGUUCAAUUUUUCAACUCCACAAAAAAUAUAAAAUAAAAAUCCCUUUUAUACUUUGAAAAUUUUUAUAUUUAUUUCAAGAACAUUUCUCUUCGAUUACACAUUAAAAAAGCAGCUUUUUAUAAUAAUUAAAAUUAUGAUACUACAAUUUCUUUGAUAAAAAAUCUGUUUUUUUUUCAAAAAUAAUUUAGGACAAGUGAAUAAAUUUCCACGACCACAAACUCUUAAUGUAUAUAUUUUGUUUCUUUUUUCUUUUCAUUUAAAAUGGAAAAUAAGCAGAAAUAUGCUUAUUUCAUAAAAUGUUAGGCAUAUUUAGCUUGUUGGGAAAUAAUAACUGAAUUAAUAAAUGUAUAUAAAA